AGUGAACGCUGGCGGUAGGCCUAACACAUGCAAGUCGAACGGCAGCACAGGAGAGCUUGCUCUCUGGGUGGCGAGUGGCGGACGGGUGAGGACUACAUCGGAAUCUACUCUGUCGCGGGGGAUAACGUAGGGAAACUUACGCUAAUACCGCAUACGACCUACGGGUGAAAGCAGGGGACCUUCGGGCCUUGCGCUAUCGAACGAGGCGAUGUCGUAUUAGCUAGUUGGCGGGGUAAAGGCCCACCAAGGCGACGAUCCGUAGCUGGUCUGAGAGGAUGAUCAGCCACACUGGAACUGAGACACGGUCCAGACUCCUACGGGAGGCAGCAGUGGGGAAUAUUGGACAAUGGGCGCAAGCCUGAUCCAGCCAUACCGCGUGGGUGAAGAAGGCCUUCGGGUUGUAAAGCCCUUUUGUUGGGAAAGAAAUCCAGCUGGCUAAUACCCGGUUGGGAUGACGGUACCCAAAGAAUAAGCACCGGCUAACUUCGUGCCAGCAGCCGCCGUAA
rnacentral:rRNA from 1 species